GCGCCGUCCCGGCCGGCCCGUGCUCCGAGCCUCCCUCCUGGAUUCCAGAAGGAUGCCGGGUUCCGCUCCUCACCCACGCCUCGGCCCCGCCCAGGACCGACCUGCUGGGCAGGGCUCCGCCUCCCUCCUUGGUACAGUGUCCUGGCCUCUGUCGGGAAUUUGUCCAGCAGCCCCAUCGUCAUCGCCAUCACCCUGCUUCAGGGUGCAGUCUCCAGGUACUUGGACUUCCAGAGACAUGUCUUAACAAGACAGAGACCUCAUCACCUUUUGUUACCUAGCCUCAGAAGGCAUGAAGAAUCACAUCUGCUGCACUGCUGGUUUACAAGUAAGACCCAAGACUUCCCAGAUUGAAAGAAAGGGGCAUUAGAUACCAGCUUUUGCUGGGAAUGAGGCAAAACCUAGAACAUGCAGCUAGCUGUCUUUGUAAAAUAUCAUCUCCACAAUCUUCCCCCACUGGAAUAUCAUCUCCAUGAAGCACCAUCAUAUUCCCUUUGCCUAAAAUGCUGCCAAAGCACAUUGUGAGUAUUUAAUUUUAGAGUGAAUAAAGGUUUGUCUUUCAAGGAA